UUUGAUCUCUCUCUCUCUCUCUCUCUUUCCUCAAGAUAUACAAAUAUCCUCAAAAUCAAGAAGAUAUCUUUGUUACGAAUCUGUAGGAUACGGUUACAUUGUUACGAAUAUUUUCCACGAUCUCUUGUCUCAAUACCCGAGAAAAUCCAAAAACAUCAAUAAGUGCUAUCUCCUGUAGCCAUGAAGACCAAUGUCCACUUCCAUCAGACAUCAAGCAAUUAUGGAGCUUAAUGGACCUAGCUUUUGCUAGUGGUAAUAUCAAUGUAUGCCACUUAUUUUUAUUUUUAUGUAUAACUGCACCCUUGUAAACUCCUAUAUAAAGAAGUAUUUGCUUCAGUUGUAGAGCAGGUUCUCAUUCUCUAGUUCUCCUUCUCUUUCAUUCAUAUCCUCUCUUCCAUCCUCUCUCAUCCUUGUAGUCGAGAACAUUGUUACAAUCUUCUUUUAAGAUACGGUUACAUUGUGACGAAUAUUUUCCACGAUUUCUUGUCGCAAUACCCAAGAAAAAUCCAAAAACAUCAAUAAGUGCUAUCUUCUGUAGCCAUGAAGACCAAGGUCCACUUCCAACAGACAGCAAACAAUUAUGGAGCUUAAUAGAGCUACCUUUUUCUAGUGUGGAGUUUGAUCUCUCUCUUUCUUUCCUCAAGAUAUACAAAUAUCCUCAAAAUCAAGAAGAUAUCUUUGUUACGAAUCUGUAGGAUACGGUUACAUUGUUACGAAUAUUUUCCACGAUCUCUUGUCUCAAUACCCGAGAAAAAUCCAAAAACAUCAAUAAGUGCUAUCUCCUGUAGCCAUGAAGACCAAUGUCCACUUCCAUCAGACAGCAAGCAAUUAUGGAGUUUAAUGGACCUAGCUUUUGCUAGUGGUAAUAUCAAUGUAUGCCACUUAUUUUUAUUUUUAUGUAUAACUGCACCCUUGUAAACUCCUAUAUAAAGAAGUAUUUGCUUCA